rnacentral:rRNA from 1 species
CGCGCAGGCGGUCUGAUAAGUUUGACGUGAAAGCUCCUGGCUUAACUGGGAGAGGUCGUUGGAAACUGUCAGGCUUGAGGCAAUGAGAGGGGUGCGGAAUUCCCGGUGUAGUGGUGGAAUGCGUAGAUAUCGGGAGGAACACCAGUGGCGAAAGCGGCACCCUGGCAUUGACCUGACGCUGAAGUGCGAAAGCGUGGGGAGCGAACG